rnacentral:rRNA from 1 species
CACGGAGGGUGCGAGCGUUGUUCGGAAUUAUUGGGCGUAAAGAGCGUGUAGGCGGUUUGUUAAGUCUGAUGUGAAAGCCCCGGGCUCAACCCGGGAAGUGCAUUGGAAACUGGCUGACUUGAGUACGGGAGAGGAAAGUGGAAUUUCGAGUGUAGGGGUGAAAUCCGUAGAUAUUCGAAGGAACACCAGUGGCGAAGGCGGCUUUCUGGACCGAUACUGACGCUGAGACGCGAUAGCGUGGGGAGCAAACAGG